rnacentral:rRNA from 1 species
GACAGAGGGUGCAAACGUUGCUCGGAAUCACUGGGCGUAAAGGGCGUGUAGGCGGGAAGGAAAGUCAGAUGUGAAAGCCCUGGGCUCAACCCAGGAACUGCAUUUGAAACUCCCUUUCUUGAGUGUCGGAGAGGAAAGCGGAAUUCCUGGUGUAGAGGUGAAAUUCGUAGAUAUCAGGAGGAACACCGGUGGCGAAGGCGGCUUUCUGGACGACAACUGACGCUGAGACGCGAAAGCGUGGGGAGCAACAGG